GAACGAGACUCUCGGUUGGGUAAACACAGUGAAGUACUUUCAGCAAAACGUGGACUUGGACAAGGACCAUAAGCCAGGGAAAAUCUAGGUCUGGAUCGUCAGGGUAAAAUCCACUCUGGGAAAGAGGAGUACAAAAAUUCAGAGUUCCUGCUGCUUAAGAGGUCUACCUUGAUUAGCCCAGAUGGUCCUCAGCUGUGUGAUUGCACUUGCUUUUCGCACCCUGCAGGAAGAGUAUACAGAAAAGAAAUGAGCAGAGUGAGAGGUGGUAUGACAUGCAGCAAAGGUUCCAGGGUGAGGAAUCAAACCCUGGACGGCUGCAUCAAAUACUCAUAGCCUCUGUAUAUGGUGCACAUGCUCUACCUCUACACCACGUGCUGCCUAAACCCUAAACUUUUGAUACAACUUCUGCUACUGUGUUUACACCUGCAGGUCUCGGUCACAAAAUCCCCAACACCCUGGACAGGUUGGCAGCCCAAAACCAUGAAUUAACAUUAUUAAAUCAAACUCAGAUCAUUUGAAAAAGAUGGACAUGCUGUGCAUUUUAACAGAUAGCUUUGUUUUUGGCAUUUUCACAGUGUCUAAACGUCAUAUAUUAAUGCUUAUCUACUGCGUCAUAUUCUCACACUUUUAUCUCCAGUUUGUUUGAAUAAACUCAACUUACAAAACCUCAUAACUGCUACUUUAAAAAACAAAAACAAGAAUGUGAAC